AUAUGAGUCACAAAGGCCCAACCCAAGCUCAAGAACGUGAUGGGCUCAAAUUACCACAAGGCCCAAUAACGAGGUCAAAGGCCAGACAAAUGCGUUCCAAACUAAAUGGGACCAUUCAGGAAUUUGUUAGCAAGGCCUUAGAUGCGUACAUGAAAGAAAGAGAAAAUCAAGAUUCACUUUCUUGUUUUCAAGAAAAUCAAGAAACUGAAUCUUGGCCCAAUUUUGCUGGUUGGAGCGAUUUCAAGAAUCAAGAAAAUCAAGAUUUCAAAUCUUGGAAAUCUUGGUCCAAGAAACCGAAUCUUGCAGCCAAAGCGCAUUGGAUCUCUGUUACGAGCGUCAACUAACCAAUUUCAGUAGGAGAUGGACUACAAGCCCAAGUUCUUGAAGNNNNNNNNNNNNNNNNNNNNNNNNNNNNNNNNNNNNNNNNNNNNNNNNNNNNNNNNNNNNNNNNNNNNNNNNNNNNNNNNNNNNNNNNNNNNNNNNNNNNCAAUGCCCAAUAAGAUGAUUCCAAGCCCAACCAAGAAGUCAAACCAUACUUAGUUGAAAAUCAGGCCAAAUUGUUAAAGUGGCCCAAUUUGUAAAAAUUUUAAUUGUUUAAAUAUCUAAGUUUAAUUUUUAGACUUUAGGAUUAUUAUAUGUAAAAAUUCGGCCCAAGCAUCCCAUUAAAAUGCCUUGGCCGAAUUUCCCUCUUAAUUUAUUAAUUAGGUCUUUUUUAAGUUUUCCUAAUGAGAUUAGGAAAUAGAUAGAAGGCCUAUUAAUAGGCAUGGCCGACCACCUUAUUGUUUACAUUACAAUUACAUUGAAAAUUUCAGAUUUGCUUUGAGUGAAAAUUCUCUUUGAGUUCUUCAAGAAUUUUCUCUUGAGUUUUCUUUAGAAGUAGUUUUAACAAUCUUUUUGAUUGUGGGAGCCAUCUUCAGCCUUCUUCUUGCCAUUUUUCUUCAUUGGAGGGGAGAUUAGAGCCAUUUGAAGUGAGUUGUGAAAUCUUUAUCGAUUUCAAGGCUUCUUAGGACUUUAUCUUUCUUUUCGUGCUGUUCGCUUUGUUUUAAUUUUUCUGCUUGUGUCGUUUUCUUUAUCUAACUUGUUUAAAUUCUCUUGUUGCGUUCCAGCCCCGUUCAACAUUCAAGAAUUCGUUCGGCACCAUCCUUGAACAUCAAGAAACAUUUUGGGACAUAAAGCCCUCUUUCUUGCCGUCCAAACCCCUCUUUAUUGUGUUGGUUAUUUUAAUCUCAGAUCGGAUUGGUUUUACAUUGAUCUUGCUGUUUCGUUUCAGAUUUCAUUGUUCUUGUUCGUUUCAAUCAAUUUCCAAAGUUCCAGAUCAAUAUUUGCCCAACAUUGACAGCAAGAACCAUUCGUUAAUCAUAAUUUUUAGAUUUCUUACUGCCCAAGAACUCUAUUACCUAUUCUGAUUUGGUUUCUUAAUCAAUUGAGUUUAAUUUGCUGUUUUGUCUUCUUUAGAUCAGAUUCAAUUUGAAGAGUCAUUCUUGCUAUUUAGAUCUAGUUUCUUGGCCUCCAAGGAACCAUAUUAAUUCGUGUUCUUUUUAUUAGCUGAUUAUCCAUGGUUUUAUGGUUUUCGUUUCAGAUCUGGUACUGAUAAGUUUGAUUCUUUUGUUUCAUUUUAGAUCUGAUCAUCUAGAGUUUCGUAGGAGUUUCUCGUGGCUUGACAACUUGAUCUUGGUUUGCGCGCAACCCCUAUCAUUUGGUUUCAGAUUUUGGGUGUUUUGGGUGUUCUUGGUUGAGUUCUAAACUGAUCUCUAUUUUUUAAACUACAAAAAGCAGUUUUACCCAGAAAAUUUUAUGGAAAAAAAUUCAUUCGAGUGUGUAAACGUUUUCUGAUUGAUCUGAAAUUUUACAUGCAUAUUUUUGGCACUGAGAUUGAAUAUAAAAAAAUAUUUCCCACAAUAAAAUCAGUCAAAAAAGUCAAAAAAAUUAAAAAAGGCGAAAUCUAAUAAAAAUUAAAAAAAAACAUUCAGCGGGUUGAGUUUGGUGCCCAAACUUUCCAGAUCAAAAAUUCAAAUUUAAGGACAUGCCAGAUUUAAUUUCAUGAUUUUUGGAGAUCGGGAACACCUCGAAUGAAGUUGUAAAGUUACUCCGCAGUUUUUCGGGUUUUUGGAUUUCAGCAAUUUUUAUUGAUUCUUAGCUGUAGGUUUUCGUUUGUUUUGCCUUUAUUCUCCCUUUACACUAUCUAACACCUUUUUGUUUCUUGUGUUAGUAGGAUUUUAAGGUGUGCACAAUUCUUCCUCGGUGCAACACAAAUCAAUUGAUGUCUCGUCAGUUUUUGGCAUCCUAGUGCAAAUUAGGAUUCUUUGGUAGUUUCAGUUCAUACACUUUCUAAUUGGUUGAUAUAGACUCUACUAAAAAACUCACAAGACUGAAUUCUACCUCAUUGAGAGUUUGAUUUUUCUUUUUGAGUGAUUAACGGUGAGAUUUGCUAAUUUUUCCUUUUUGAGUGUUGAGUGUUUGUUUUGCAGGUUGUUGAAAAUGCCUGGGGUUGGUCAAGGUGAUAAUGACCAUAAUGAUGUCUAUGACAUAUUUAAAAAAUUCCAACAACAGUUAGACGAACGGGCUGUCUUACUUCGAACAUUGAGUGCUACUAUCAAUGAGAUGCGAUUGGAUCAAGAGCCUCAGUAUCGGGGUCCAAUUAAAGAGGAUAUGGAUAACCAGCCUUGUGCUCAUAGGCACGCUCCUAGACGUGUCCCUAGAACUGACUAUGACGUUCAUGAUCGCGGACAACCCUCUUUGGCAAAACCAAAGAGAGAGCAGCAAUGAGAACAUCUCUUUCAUACCCGUUGCCAUGUACAAGGUAAGGUUUGUAGAGUUAUUAUUGAUGGUGAAAGUUGCUCGAACGUAGCCAGCACGACGAUGGUGGAAAAGCUUUGCUUAACCACUACCAAGCAUCCACGACCUUAUCAACCACAAGGGCUUAGCAACGAAGGCCAAUUUAAGGUCACUCAACAAGUGCGCAUCACCUUUUCUAUCAGCAAGUAUCAAGACGAAGUCGUGUGCGACGUAGUGCCUAUUCAAGCCUGUCAUUUGUUGCUAGGAGAAUCAUGGCAAAGGGAUCGAAAGGUCACCCACGAUGAUCGUACCAAUAGGUAUUCUUUCAAGCAUCAAGGAAGGAAAGUCACCUUAGUGCCGUUCACUCCGGAACAAGUCCAUGAGGACCAAAUCAAACUGAAAAAUUCUGUUGUUAAAAUAAGUGAGGAAAAAGAAAAAGGAGAAGAGAAAAAUAAAAGUGAAAAAGAAGAAAAUGAAAAUGAAAAAGGCGAAAAGGAAAGCGAGAGAGAAACAAAAGAAAAUGUGAAUGAAGUGAGUGAAAAAGAGAGAGAGCUUAAACAAGGAAUGAGUGAAAAAGAAGAGAGUGCUCAAACACAAGGGAGGAAUAUUUUUGCUAACCCCCAUUCGAAAUCGCCUUGUGAUUUCUCGUUGUUUCAGGUUUGCAAGAUUCCACCCAUGGACAGGUUCCAGCUUCAUUACCCUUCUACCGAGAAACGUUUUCAAUUGAUUGAACAAGGUAAAACUAUCCUCGUUUUCCCACCUCUAAUGGUAAGCAAGGUGAAGUUUCUCUAUUCUCUAAACAACUUCAUUCAACUCGUAUUGAUAACUUUGCUCAUGACUUGAAUUUUGAAAAGGUACUGUAUGUUAUUGUCGAUAAUUGCCAUUCUUGGAUUGAUGACAUUUUAAUUUACUCAACAACAUUAAAUGAUCAUGUUUUCCAUGUUAGAAUGGUUUUAGACAUUCUAAGAGCUGAAAAAUUGUUUGCCAACCUUGAUAAAUGUACAUUUUGUUGUGAUAAGCUAAUAUUUUUAGGUUUCAUAAUUAGUGCUCAAGGUAUUCAUGUCGAUGAGGACAAAGUUAAGGUAAUCAAGGAGUGGCCAACUCCUAAAUCGAUAACUGAGGUGAGAUCUUUCCAUGGUUUAGCUAGUUUUUAUAGACGAUUUGUGAAAGAUUUCUCCACUAUUGUUGAGUUGGUGAAAUCCUUACACGAGAAGGCUAGGCAGCGAAUAGCCAAAACAAAUGACAUCAACACCAACAAAGCAAACAAGAGGCGCAAACGGGUUGUCUUUGAAUCCGGAGAUUGGGUUUGGGUCCAUAUGAGGAAAGAACGAUUUCCUACAAAAAGAAAGACCAAGCUGGACCCAAGGGGCAAUGGGCCUUUCCAAGUACUCGAGCGGAUCAACGACAAUGCCUAUAAAAUUGAUCUACCUGGUGAGUACAAUGUAAGUUCUACUUUUAAUGUGGCUGACUUGUCCCCAUUUGAUUUUUAAGAUUCGAGGACGAAUCUUUUUGAGGAAGGGGGGAAUGAUACGAGUCACAAAGGCCCAACCCAAGCUGAAGAACGUGAUGGGCUCAAAUUACCACAAGGCCCAAUAAUAAGGUCAAAGGCCAGACAAAUGCGUUCCAAACUAAAUGGGACCAUUCAGGAAUUUGUUAGCAAGGCCUUAGAUGCAUACACGAAAGAAAGAGAAAAUCAAGAUUCACUUUCUUGUUUUCAAGAAAAUCAAGAAAUCGAAUCUUGGCCCAAUUU
rnacentral:lncRNA from 1 species